UACGUAGGUCCCGAGCGUUGUCCGGAUUUAUUGGGCGUAAAGCGAGCGCAGGUGGUUUAUUAAGUCUGGUGUAAAAGGCAGUGGCUCAACCAUUGUAUGCAUUGGAAACUGGUAGACUUGAGUGCAGGAGAGGAGAGUGGAAUUCCAUGUGUAGCGGUGAAAUGCGUGGAUAUAUGGAGGAACACCGGUGGCGAAAGCGGCUCUCUGGCCUGUAACUGACACUGAGGCUCGAAAGCGUGGAGAGCAAACAGG
rnacentral:rRNA from 1 species